rnacentral:lncRNA from 1 species
UACGCCGUGUCAGAGGGGAGCGUACGAGAAGGUAGCGGACCUCAACACUCGCUGGGCGCGGCGCAAUCAUUGGCUCGGCGCCCAAUGGGAGGCCGUUAGGUAAGCCCGGCCGGUGGAGGACCAACAGAGUGGGGCGGCGACACGAAACCAUUGGCCUCUGCCAGUAGCUGGGUGGCCGACAGUAGGAUUUGGCGGUGGGGCAGCCACCCGAGCUUGGCCGUACCUCCCCCGCCCCAGCGUCGCCAUCCGACCGGGCGAGCCUGCACCACGGACGUACCUACGCCUCUCCGUCGUCGGCGUGAAGGCUGGUGGGCCGUCCCUCCCCCUCUCUCUCUCUCUCUCUCUAGGGAGGACACGAUUCAAGAAAGAUAGGUUGGAGUGUACUCGCCUCCACUUCCCGUAAGGUAGAUUGACUAGUUUAUCCCUUGCUCUCCUACACCAAUAUCUAGUGACAACAAAUUAGUGUCACAUGAACAACAUAUUAACCUAUAGCGAUACGAUAGAUAAGUAGUCAUGGUCAUAAAUUAGACAUCUAUGUAAUGUAGAUUGACUGGUUUAUCCCUGGCUCUCCUACACCAACAUCUAGUGACAACAAAUUAGUGUCACAUGAACAACACAUUAACCUGUAGCGAUUAUGAUAAGUCAUGGUUAUAAAUUGUACAUCUAUGUGUUACACGGCCAUCCUUCAAGUCCAGUCCCGUACAUAUCAACGUUUAUUUUAUUGACUGACUGACUCAUCCUUUGACCUUCAGCAUGAUGUAAACCUGUGAUUGAUAGUGUCGGCAUAAGGACGAUCGUUGUGCAUCAUAUUGGGUUUGGUGGAUCAUCAAAUAGGACUCUCGAGGAGGUCUAUUCCACUGUUCUACAAUUUUGUGGGGGGUAAAAUGGGCAUUGUGCAACGGAGACCAGCAGAAGAUAUUUCCAAUUGGCUACUUAUGUGGCUCAUGCAUCAAACACCAAUAGAGUUCUGAACGAGAGUGCAAGCAGAAUUUGAAGAGAAGAGUCACCCAAGUUCUCUUACCUCUCUCUCUCUCGCAUCCACCGACGGGUAUCCGUACCUCUGAAGCUUCCGGAACCUUCAGAAGCCACCGGAAUGCAAGACUUUGGGGCGAUCCCCGGCGGAGGAGGAGGAGGAGGGCGCGUCAGGGACUACCCUCCUCUGCCGCCGGCGCAGCCGCAGCUUCCCGUCAAGUGCCCCCGCUGUGACUCCACCAACACCAAAUUCUGCUACUACAACAACUACAACCUCGCCCAGCCCCGCCACUUCUGCAAGUCCUGCCGCCGCUACUGGACCAAAGGAGGCGUCCUCCGCAACGUUCCGGUCGGCGGCGGAUGCCGCAAGUCCAAACGAUCCUCCAUGUCUAAGCCCUCCGGUGGCUCCGAGCGUAAGGACCCACCCCGCCGUCCCUCUGCCGCCCCUCGAUCCAGCAGCGGCAGUGGCAGUGGCAGUGGCAGCGGCUGCUCCACUCUCGCAACCGCUGAUGUGCCCACGUCCACCACCCCCUUCCCCAAUUCGGCCCUCCUGACCCCUCCUCCUGACCCUAACCCCGAUCCGGCCCCUUCCUUCGAUUCAGCGACGACGAUGGAGGUUCCACUGGUCCAGGCAGCGGAUAUCUUCCCGGACACAUCCACCGCCGCAGCGGGGAGCUUCCCGAGCCAGAUGUCGCUCGCUUCAACGCCGGCGAUCCUGGGAUUCAACAGAUUUCCCGAUCCACCACCCGUUCCGCUCCCGCCACAGUCGAAAGCUGCGGAGGAGAUCAGCGCACAGACGGGGUUCACGAAUCAGGCGGUCGCGAUCGACCCACGGGGGGCGGGCUCCGGCGCCGGGUGUGCGAUCGCCGGGAUGGACUGGC